rnacentral:rRNA from 1 species
AUGACGGGGUGGGGCGGGAGGCGGGGAAAGCCAUCCAUGGCGAUCCUGGCGGCGUUGCUAAUGGCGUCAGUGGCACUGCCGCUCCUCAUGGUGCCCGACAUGCUCUCUAUGCCAUGCUCUGACGGCAUGGAUCGCGGCGCCGCCCUGUCGCUCCCACGCCCGCGCUUCAGCAGAUCCGCGUUCGAGUCGAGGCUGGAGAAGAGCAGGGAGAAAGGGGAGUCGUGUAUGGAGGUUCUGUACUUUUGUUGUAUCAACAUCUUCUCCGUUUGUCCUACAUGGCCGAGCGAGAUCGAAGCUAGCCGCCGGUAA